rnacentral:rRNA from 1 species
AGCAGUAGCCGCGGUAACACGGAGGGGGCUAGCGUUGUUCGGAAUUACUGGGCGUAAAGCGUACGUAGGCGGCUUUGUAAGUUAGAGGUGAAAGCCUGGUGCUCAACACCAGAACUGCCUUUAAGACUGCAUCGCUUGAACGUCGGAGAGGUGAGUGGAAUUCCGAGUGUAGAGGUGAAAUUCGUAGAUAUUCGGAAGAACACCAGUGGCGAAGGCGGCUCACUGGACGACUGUUGACGCUGAGGUACGAAAGCGUGGGGAGCAAACAGGAUUAGAUACCCCCGUAGUCCCUGUCUCUUAUAC